UACGGGGGGGGCUAGCGUUGUUCGGAAUUACUGGGCGUAAAGCGUACGUAGGCGGCUUUGUAAGUUAGAGGUGAAAGCCCGGAGCUCAACUCCGGAAUUGCCUUUAAGACUGCAUCGCUUGAAUCAUGGAGAGGUUAGUGGAAUUCCGAGUGUAGAGGUGAAAUUCGUAGAUAUUCGGAAGAACACCAGUGGCGAAGGCGACUAACUGGACAUGUAUUGACGCUGAGGUACGAAAGCGUGGGGAGCAAACAGG
rnacentral:rRNA from 1 species